rnacentral:lncRNA from 1 species
AGGCUAUUGGCUCCACAAGACUGGCAGAGUAUACUGUAAUUCAUUACCGUCUUGCAACCCUGUCAGAACUCAGAAAAAGUGCAUGGCUUUCUACCAGGGCAAAGCUCUUAGAAAAAAUCCUGUAUCCUUGUGUCUUUCUCAUACACAAAGCAAGCUUAUCAACAUUCUCUGCACUAUGAGAGAGGUCUAUUGGAAUUUCCAUUUUAGCUGCCACAUAAGCUGUCAGCUGAAUGUGUGGUUACUUUCAUGUUUACCUGAAUGAACCAGGAUAUUCAGGCAGUUUAAAAACACACUCAGAUGUGAGACAGCAAGCAGCAGCAGACUUCAUUACCAGAAGCAGGGAAGAUACACACAGGCAAGAUCAAGAGACAUCUAAUGGAUUUCCCUCUAUUGAUUCAUAACAGCAAUGGCUUGGAGCAAGGCUAAUGACAUCAAGAACAGCUUAAAGGAACUUAUGAGAACAGGAUUUCAGUAUGUCAACAAACAAUUUCAUUCCAAUAAAAGCUGUGUAAGAAGACUGUACGUGCAUACUUAUUUCCAGCAUCAAGACUGCUACAGUCUUCCAGGCUUUGGUGAGCUUGCAACAUUCUCUUAUGUCCAUCUCUUUUCAUCCGUGUGAGCUUCCUUCUGAAUCUGGCUAGUAUUCCAUGGCUGACAACCCAGGUAUACUUGCCUGGAAAUAGUAGACUCACUUGAAGUAGGCAUCAGGUAAGGAGGUGUAUUUCUGAGAGGACAGGUAUAGGGGUACAGGGUUAGGCCUUAAUCCCACACAUACAUACUUUUGAGCAGACCUAUUUUGGAUCUCACUGUGGCUCAGUGGCCUCAGCAUCUGCCGAUGACCAACUAUCCCCAGGAAUGGCCUGGCACUAACAAUCAGAGCACAGUGCCAUCUGCUGCAGUAACUCUUGAUGACAGAUGUCACCGCUGUUGGACAGUUACUGUCACAUGUGACAUUUCAAUUGUGACCUAAAAUUGAUUACCUUACUUUUUGGAAGAAGAAGAAAAGACCAGCAAAUAACUAUGCUAAUCAAAAUGUACCAGGUCGCAGAGGUCACCCUCAAACUGCCAAGGUAUGCAUCAAUUGGGCAACAAAACACUCUCCAGGUAUUCUCUCAGAAGGGCUGAAUCUCUACCAAAAAUAUUGAACAUA